rnacentral:rRNA from 1 species
UACGUAGGGACCUAGCGUUGUCCGGAAUCAUUGGGCGUAAAGCGCGCGUAGGCGGCCCGGUAAGUCCGUUGUAAAAGUCGAAGGCUCAACCUUCGAAAGCCGAUGGAUACUGCCGGGCUAGAGUCCGGAAGAGGCGAGUAGAAUUCCUGGUGUAGCGGUGAAAUGCGCAGAUAUCAGGAGGAACACCAAUUGCGAAGGCAGCUCGCUGGGACGUUACUGACGCUGAGACGCGAAAGCGUGGGGAGCAAACAGG